rnacentral:rRNA from 1 species
CCCGUGCGGCAGCUACACAUGCAGUCGAGCGAGAACUUCGGUUCUAGCGGCGGACGGGUUAGUAACGCGUGGGAACGUGCCCUUCACUACGGAAUAGUCCCGGGAAACUGGGUUUAAUACCGUAUACGCCCUUCGGGGGAAAGAAUUUCGGUGAAGGAUCGGCCCGCGUUAGAUUAGAUAGUUGGUGGGGUAACGGCCUACCAAGUCUACGAUCUAUAGCUGGUUUUAGAGGAUGAUCAGCAACACUGGGACUGAGACACGGCCCAGACUCCUACGGGAGGCAGCAGUGGGGAAUCUUAGACAAUGGGCGCAAGCCUGAUCUAGCCAUGCCGCGUGAGUGAUGAAGGCCUUAGGGUCGUAAAGCUCUUUCGCCAGGGAUGAUAAUGACAGUACCUGGUAAAGAAACCCCGGCUAACUCCGUGCCAGCAGCCGCGGUAAUACGGAGGGGGUUAGCGUUGUUCGGAAUUACUGGGCGUAAAGCGCGCGUAGGCGGAUUGGAAAGUUGGGGGUGAAAUCCCAGGGCUCAACCCUGGAACUGCCUCCAAAACUAUCAGUCUAGAGUUCGAGAGAGGUGAGUGGAACUCCGAGUGUAGAGGUGAAAUUCGUAG